UUUUACAACAUUUGAUCAAAACAAAUUACUUUAAAGUAAAGAAGAGCUUAUGCUCUUUUACAACAUUUGAUCAAAUCAAAUUACAACCAAAAUCUAAUCUACACAUUCCCAUGGUUCAAACAAAUUUGAAACGGCCUUUCACAUAGCUCAAUUAUCGUAGGCUUAGGUUCAUAAUCACCCUUUCUUUAAUUAAUUAACACUUUAACUAAUUAAACUUGAAUGCAACAUUUUCAUUUGGUUUUUGUAUCC
rnacentral:lncRNA from 1 species